GACGAAGGUGGCAAGCGUUGCUCGGAAUCACUGGGCAUAAAGCGCGCGUAGGUGGCCUGACAAGUCAGUGGUGAAAUCCCAUCGCUCACCGAUGGAACUGCCGCCGAUACUGCCGGGCUUGAGGACAGUAGGGGAGAGUGGAACUCCUGGUGUAGCGGUGGAAUGCGCAGAUAUCAGGAGGAACACCGGUGGCGAAGGCGGGUCUCUGGGCCGAUACUGACGCUGAGGAGCGAAAGCGUGGGGAGCGAACAGG
rnacentral:rRNA from 1 species